GAUGAACGCUGGCGGCGUGCCUAAUACAUGCAAGUCGAACGAAACUUCUUUAUCACCGAGUGCUUGCACUCACCGAUAAAGAGUUGAGUGGCGAACGGGUGAGUAACACGUGGGCAACCUGCCCAAAAGAGGGGGAUAACACUUGGAAACAGGUGCUAAUACCGCAUAACCAUAGUUACCGCAUGGUAACUAUGUAAAAGGUGGCUAUACUACCGCUUUUGGAUGGGCCCGCGGCGCAUUAGCUAGUUGGUAGGGUAAAGGCUUACCAAGGCAAUGAUGCGUAGCCGAAUUGAGAGGUUGAUCGGCCACAUUGGGACUGAGACACGGCCCAAACUCCUACGGGAGGCAGCAGUAGGGAAUCUUCCACAAUGGGCGAAAGCCUGAUGGAGCAACGCCGCGUGGGUGAAGAAGGUCUUCGGAUCGUAAAACCCUGUUGUUAGAGAAGAAAGUGCGUGAGAGUAACUGUUCACGUUUCGACGGUAUCUAACCAGAAAGCCACUGCUAACUAC
rnacentral:rRNA from 1 species